rnacentral:rRNA from 1 species
AACAAGGUCUCCGUUGGUGAACCAGCGGAGGGAUCAUUAUCGAGUUAUUCAACUCCCAAACCCUAUGUGAACUUACCACUUGUUGCUUCGGCGCGCGCUUCGGUGCCGCCGAGGACACUUAAACUCUUUGUUUUUAUAAGCAUUUCUGAGUGGCCGAAAGGCAAAAAUACAAAUGAAUCAAAACUUUCAACAACGGAUCUCUUGGUUCUGGCAUCGAUGAAGAACGCAGCGAAAUGCGAUAAGUAAUGUGAAUUGCAGAAUUCAGUGAAUCAUCGAAUCUUUGAACGCACAUUGCGCCCGCCAGCAUUCUGGCGGGCAUGCCUGUUCGAGCGUCAUUUCAACCCUCGAGCCCGACUCUUUUGAGGACGGCUCGGCGUUGGGGGACGGCAGACUCCCCCCGGCAUCUCGCCGGGGACGCCGCCCCCGAAAUCUAGUGGCGGCCCUCCGAGGCGACCUCUGCGUAGUAACUUGUUCUCGCACCGGAAAGCUCAGAGCGGCCACGCCGUAAAACCCCAACUUUUUUCAGGUUGACCUCGAAUCAGGUAGGACUACCCGCUGAACUUAAGCAUAUCAAUA